rnacentral:tRNA from 1 species
CAGCGCGAGCGCUACCUCAAACCGCUGGUCCAGGGCGAGUGGCGGUCCGCCUUCGCGAUGACCGAGCCGGCGCCGGGCGCGGGUUCGGAUCCCGCCGCGCUGGCCA